UGGAAGUAAAAAGUCGUAACAAGGUUUCCGUAGGUGAACCUGCGGAAGGAUCAUUACCGAGUUUUCGAGCUCCGGCUCGACUCUCCCACCCUUUGUGAACGUACCUCUGUUGCUUUGGCGGCUCCGGCCGCCAAAGGACCUUCAAACUCCAGUCAGUAAACGCAGACGUCUGAUAAACAAGUUAAUAAACUAAAACUUUCAACAACGGAUCUCUUGGUUCUGGCAUCGAUGAAGAACGCAGCGAAAUGCGAUAAGUAAUGUGAAUUGCAGAAUUCAGUGAAUCAUCGAAUCUUUGAACGCACAUUGCGCCCCUUGGUAUUCCGGGGGGCAUGCCUGUUCGAGCGUCAUUACAACCCUCAAGCUCUGCUUGGAAUUGGGCACCGUCCUCACUGCGGACGCGCCUCAAAGACCUCGGCGGUGGCUGUUCAGCCCUCAAGCGUAGUAGAAUACACCUCGCUUUGGAGCGGUUGGCGUCGCCCGCCGGACGAACCUUCUGAACUUUUCUCAAGGUUGACCUCGGAUCAGGUAGGGAUACCCGCUGAACUUAAGCAUAUCAAUAAGCGGAGGAA
rnacentral:rRNA from 2 species